AACCUAGUUUGACUCGGAAGCCCAGACUUCUCCCCUGUCAUGCUACAUUUUGCUGUGUUGGCGUCAGUCAACAGAUUUCUCCUGUGUGGAGGAGACUGAGGUGUUUGGGGUGGUGAUUUGGAAACCCAGGCGCUUCUACUUUGAGCGGAAGUUCCCAGUCUUCAUACUUGAGAUCCUGAAACCCAGCCUAGUGUCCCCAUCUUAUAUUGAUGAAAAAGUUUAGGGCUAAAAUAUCUAUGGAGCUCUCCGGUUCCAAAGUGAUAAACAUAGGCCCCAAGGUAAAAAUAGAAAACAUGAUGUUGGCGGAGCAAAAUCGUCUCUCAACCUCUUCCCAAUAACUAAAUCAAGACUAAUCAAGGGGAGCACACGGAAGGGGUCAAUAUUUGUGCUCAAGAGUCCAUAAUUCAGUAGGGAGGUUUUAUGUAAUAAUCGCUAGGAAAAUGCCCUAGCGGAGGGGGAGGGCUGGGGCUUGGAGAGGAGCUCUGCCUGCUGGUUGGGCCAUAGCGAUAAAUGUUUGAGGAGAUAAGGCAAAGAGCACAGGGAGAUAAGGAAGCCGACACUGGAAGACAAGAUGAGGCCCAGCUGACUAUACAAUAUCAGGGUGACUAAGUUUCCAAAGAGCCACCUUAGAUAAGAAGCAGAAUUUGGUGCCUUUGGUGACUAAUAGGAGAGGAAGCCAAGACAAGCUUGAGAUGACUCCAGAGUCUGAAGUCUGUGAGGUGAGCUUUCUCUUCAAAAGAACUGUCCAAGUUGGAAGGUAACUUAGGGGAGAAAUAACUCUUUGGGUUCGCGUGGGCUGAGUGUGGAAGGUCUGGGCAGCACGUCUGCGUGGAGAAGUACAGCAGGAAGGUGGAGCGAGAUCUGGCAGACAUGCGAGUGGUGAAGGAGAGGAGAGAGGGCACAGAAACACAAAUACCAAGGGGGAGCCCUGGGGAAUCCCACCUCUGAGGGUAUGAAGGGUCAAGGAGAAGAAGGCAGUAAAAGGAGAGAGGUUAAUGCAACUUCCUGGGAGCUAAGAAUGCGAAGCUCUGAGCCAAAUACCUUUCCUUCUCAUUGUUGGUGAGGCUGCUGGUACUGAGGGCAGUUACCCAGCCCCAAGCCACACGAUCUGGGCGGGCCUGAGCUGGGGCCCCCAGGUGUCCCUCUCUUCUGGGAAAUCUCUCUGCUCUGCUGUCACACCCACACCUCCCUCCCUGUGACCAACCCGCGGUGUCUGCCAGCUCCUCAGCUCUAAGCAACCUUCUGUUUCAUAUUUGCAUUCAUAACUCAGCCUGGCAUUAUUCUUCCUUGUCUUAAAGUGGACAAGGAACACAGAACUUUAUAUUGAGGUGUUUGUGUCAUGUAGCUGCAAAUACAAGCAGUUCCGUGCAGAAUAAGUGCACUUUCAAAAAAAAAAAUGAAAACACACACACAGACCCCUAUUUCUUGUUAAAGGAAUGUUAUUUACCAAGAACUCUGUAAUCAAGAUAUCACUGUACUACAGCAGAGAUUGCUUAUUAACCACAGGUUUAACGCUAUUUAGAAAAAGUGGCCUAAUACCGUGUCACACCUGUCAGGAUAGCGUCUCACCUUGGCCGGCUUCCCCUGAGCUCCCCAGCCUUGUGGAAGUAUAAUGUUGGGCCCCUGUAAGCAGGCAUUUCUUUGCCAAGCUCUGAUUUUCUGAGACUGCACUGAAUUCUUGUUGCCAAACUAGAGCAAGAGUAAAGAGUAAGAAAGUGUGUGUGUGCAUAUGUGUGUGUUAGGAGACAAAGCAGCCCAGGGACUGAGUGGGCAGGUUUGGGAUUCAGAUAGACCUUGGCUCUGUACUGAUACCAUUGCUUCCUUGCCUUCAGAUGGCAUAGGACUGCUCUGUGAUACAGAGCCACCAUUUAUAAAAUAGAUGUGAUCAUAUUACCUUCCGUGUAGGGUUUUUGUAAAG
ensembl:lncRNA